rnacentral:rRNA from 1 species
CCUACGGGUGGCAGCAGUGAGGAAUAUUGGUCAAUGGGCGAGAGCCUGAACCAGCCAAGUCGCGUGAGGGAGUACUGCCCUAUGGGUUGUAAACCUCUUUUGUCGGGGAGCAAAAGCCGGACGUUUCCGGCUGUGAGAGUACCCGAAGAAAAAGCAUCGGCUAACUACGUUCCAGCAGCCGCGGUAAUACGGAGGAUGCGAGCGUUAUCCGGAUUUAUUGGGGUUAAAGGGGGCGCAGGCGGAUUUUUAAGUCAGCGGUCAAAUGGUGGGGCUCAAACCCAUCCAGCCGUUGAAACUGGGGAUCUAGAGUGUGCGAGAGGUAUGCGGAAUGCGUGGUGUAGCGGUGAAAUGCAUAGAUAUCACGCAGAACCCCGAUUGCGAAGGCAGCAUACCGGUGCACAACUGACGCUCAGGCACGAAAGCGUGGGUAUCGAACAGGAUUAGAUACCCGAGUAGUC